rnacentral:rRNA from 1 species
AGGAAGUAAUAAUAAAUAAAACCUACUUAUUUUGGCGGCAUUUCAUAUGGUCAGAGGAACCUGUUCUUUAAUUGAUAACCCACAAUAAAUUUCACUUUUUUUUAAAACUUAUAUAUCGCCAUCUAAAGAGUUAAUUAUAAUUUAUUAUUCAUAAUAAUAACUAAAAAGUUAGGUCAAGGUGUAAUCUAUAAAAAAGAUUGAAAUGGGUUACCUUAAAUUAAAUUUAAGGAUUAAUUAAUUAUAAUUAAUUAUGAAAAAGAAUUUGAUAGUAAUAAAUAUUAAAUAUAAUAAUUAUUAUAUAUGAAAUAUAUAAUAAAUGUGC